GAUGAACGCUAGCUACAGGCUUAACACAUGCAAGUCGAGGGGAAACGGCAUCGAAAGCUUGCUUUUGAUUGGCGUCGACCGGCGCACGGGUGAGUAACGCGUAUCCAACCUGCCCAUCACUUGGGAAUAACCUUGCGAAAGUAAGACUAAUGCCCAAUGACAUCCCAAGAAGGCAUCCGAAUGGGACUAAAGUUUUAUCGGUGAUGGAUGGGGAUGCGUCUGAUUAGCUUGUUGGCGGGGUGACGGCCCACCAAGGCAACGAUCAGGAGGGGUUCUGAGAGGAAGGUCCCCCACAUUGGAGCUGAGACACGGACCAAACUCCUACGGGGGACAGCGGUGAGGAAUAUGAGGCAAUGAGCGAGAGCCUGAACCAGCCAAGUGGCGUGCAGGAUGACUGCCCUAUGAGUUGUAAGCUGCUUUUAUAAGGGAAUAAAGUGGGUCACGUGUGACUUUUUGCAUGUACCUUAUGAAUAAGGACCGGCUAAUUCCGUG
rnacentral:rRNA from 1 species